GACGUAGGGAGCGAGCGUUGUCCGGAUUCAUUGGGCGUAAAGAGCGCGCAGGCGGUUUGGUAAGUCGGAUGUGAAAACCCGGGGCUCAACCCCGGGCGUGCAUCUCGAUACUGCCCGACUAGAGGUAGGUAGGGGAGAUCGGAAUUCCUGGUGUAGCGGUGAAAUGCGCAGAUAUCAGGAGGAACACCGGUGGCGAAGGCGGAUCUCUGGGCCUUACCUGACGCUCAGGCGCGAAAGCUAGGGGAGCAAACAGG
rnacentral:rRNA from 1 species